UCAAAAGUGCAGAGCUGUGUAAAUGCUAAACAUCAACGAUAAUGACAUAGAGUGGGAGGCAAGGUUAACCAAUCCCAAUGCUGAGCACAACUGAAACACAGAGGAUGGUGUGCAUACCUAGGACACAGGAUUCCAGGCUGUGGAUUAUGCCAAUUGAACGAAUAACAGGAAAAGAGAAGUGACUAACUGCAUAGUAAAGAGAUGCUCACCCAAAAGUCAAAUACCAAGCUGGAGGCUGCAAACCUGGGCUCUGCCAUUAUUUGGAUAUGGAAAUA